AGAGUUUGAUCCUGGCUCAGAUUGAACGCUGGCGGCAUGCCUAACACAUGCAAGUCGAACGGAAACGACGAAAACAAUCCCUUCGGGGUGCGUCUUCGGGCGUCGAGUGGCGGACGGGUGCGUAACGCGUAGGAAUCUACCUUAUAGUGGGGGAUAAUUUGAGGAAACUCGAGUUAAUAUUGUAUAAUCCUUAUGAGGGAAAGCAGGGGAUUUUUGGACCUUGUGUUAUUAGAUGAGUCUGCGUCGGAUUAGCUUGUUGGUAGGGUAAUGGCCUACCAAGGCAACGAUCCGUAGCUGGUCUGAGAGGACGACCAGCCACACUGGGACUGAGAUAUGGCCCAGACUCCUACGGGAGGCAGCAGUGGGGAAUAUUGGAUAAUGGGCGUAAGCCUGAUUUAGCAAUGCCGCGUGUGUGAAGAAGGCCUUAGGGUUGUAAAGCACUUUCAGUAGGGAAGAAAUGCGUGUAGCUAAUAACUGCGCGUCUUGACGGUACCUACAGAAGAAGCACCGGCUAACUCCGUGCUAGUAGUUGUGGUAAUAUGGAGGGUGCAAGCGUUAAUCGGAAUUACUGGGCGUAAAGCGCGCGUAGGCGGUUACAUAAGUCGGAUGUGAAAGCCCUGGGUUCAACCUGGGAACUGCAUUCGAUACUGUAUAACUAGAGUUUGGUAGAGGGAAGUGGAAUUCCACAUGUAGCGGUGGAAUGCGUAGAUAUGUGGAGGAACACCAGUGGUGAAGGUGACUUCCUGGACCAAAACUGACGCUGAGGUGCGAAAGCGUGGGUAGCAAACAGGAUUAGAUACCCUGGUAGUCCACGCCGUAAACGAUGUCAACUAGCCGUUGGGGGAAUUUGUCCCUUAGUGGCGCAGCUAACGCGAUAAGUUGACCGCCUGGGGAGUACGGUCGCAAGAUUAAAACUCAAAGGAAUUGACGGGGGCCCGCACAAGCGGUGGAGCAUGUGGUUUAAUUCGAUGCAAUGUGAAGAACCUUACCAGCCCUUGACAUCCUCGGAAUUUAUUAGAGAUAGUUUGGUGUUUUUGGGAAUUGAGUGAUAGGUGCUGCAUGGCUGUCGUCAGCUCGUGUUGUGAGAUGUUGGGUUAAGUUUUGUAACGAGCGCAACCCCUAUCCUUAGUUGUUAGUAUGUAAUGGUGGGAAUUUUAGGGAGGUUGUUGGUGAUAAAUUGGAGGAAGGUGGGGAUGACGUCAAGUCAUCAUGCCCUUAUGGGCUGGGCUACACACGUGCUACAAUGGCCGGUACAGAGGGUUGCUAAUUUGUGAGGGGGAGUUAAUCCCAGAAAGCCGGUCGUAGUCCGGAUUGGAGUCUGCAACUCGACUCCAUGAAGUCGGAAUUGUUAGUAAUCGCGGAUUAGAAUGCCGCGGUGAAUACG
rnacentral:rRNA from 1 species